rnacentral:tRNA from 1 species
GGUCGCUUAGCUCAGUUGGUUAGAGCGUAAGUUGAGACUUGUCCCACUUUCAAAUUGGUAUUAACAGUUCAAUAGGUGGUGCUAAUAUCAGCUUGUGCACACUAUGUACCUGGUAAACGCCAAGGUCGCGAGUUCGACCCUCGUAGUGACCA